AGGGGUGGUGUGUGUGUCAUUUCUUUGGGUCUGGAAGGAACGUCAUGAUGCUGAUGGAUCACUGGGUGACUGUGGCAAGAUGAUGGUGCAGUGAGGUCUUGUUUGAAAAUAACCUGUCCCUCUGCAUCCAUGAGGGGUUGAAGUGAUUGAUGGUCAUCCAUGUUCAUUGGACAUAUGCACAGGAAGAUCUUGCAGAGUUUAUAGAAACUAAAGGGGGAAGAUGACUGUUUUUCAGCAGGCUUAUAAAGAGAUGAUCAAAGACCUGAGAGGGAACUGAAGUACAAUGAAACCCUCAUUAGUGCUUUUCAUGCGAGAUUAACCUCACGUAACAUUCGGUUUUGGUGAUGUUGUGUCAAUAACCUCAUCGUUAAAUUACAUACAUGCAAGAAUCCACUUCUUGGCAAAGAGACCUUAAAUAG